AUGGCCCUGGGCGCGCGCGUCGCUUCCUAUAAAGUGUGCUGGAAAUACGGGUGUGCAAGCUCCGACAUCCUCGCGGCGUUCGACGAGGCCAUAGCCGACGGGGUCGACGUCAUCUCCGCUUCACUCGGCUCCUCCGGCUACGCGCAACCAUUUUAUAUGGACUCCACCGCCAUCGGCGCCUUCGGCGACGUUCAGAAGGGCAACAUCGUCUCUGCUUCCGCGGGGAACUCCGGCCCCGUCGAGUCCACCACCAUCAACAUCGCGCCGUCGUUCCUGGCCAUCGGCGCGUCCACCAUCAACCGCCAUUUCCCGGCAGACGUCGUCCUCAUCAACGGCGAUACCUUUUCUGGCACUUCGCUCUACGCUGGCCCGCCGCUUGGUGCAACCGAGAUACCUCUCGUGCAUGGCCGGACUGCUGGCUCAAAAAUCUGUGAAGCUAGGAAGCUCAACGCCAGCUUGGUCGCCCGGAAGAUCGUUUUGUGCGACCCCGGCGUGAUUGCUGCGCAAGGAGAGACCGUCAAGCUUGCUGGUGGCGUCGGAGCAAUCCUCAGGAUCAUCAAAGAAUUCCGCGAGCUGGUCGUCGGUAGCCCCCAUACCUUCCCUGCCACAACCGUCACCUUCGCUGCCGGGAAAAGGAUUAAAGCGUACAUAAGCAACACUACAUCACCGGCGGCGACGAUCGUGUUCCACGGUGCGGUCAUCGGCCCCACGCCUUCUUCCCCUAGAAUGGCACCCUUCUCGAGUCGCGGCCCAAACUUCCUGGCGCCGGAGAUCCUCAAGCCAGACGUCACAGCCCCCGGCGUGGAGAUUCUCGCCGCUUGGACCGGCGCCGCCUCGCCCUCGGGCCUCGACAGCGACACGAGACUAGUGCAUUACAAUAUCCUAUCGGGCACGUCCAUGGCAUGCCCACACGUUAGUGCAUCGCUGCAAUGCUUCGGCAGGCGAAACCGGAGUGGAGCCUUGCCGCGAUCAAGUCCGCCCUGA
rnacentral:rRNA from 1 species